GAUGAAGAACGUAGCGAAAUGCGAUAAGUAAUGUGAAUUGCAGAAUUCAGUGAAUCAUCGAAUCUUUGAACGCACCUUGCGCCCUUUGGCCAUUCCGAAGGGCAUGCCUGUUUGAGUAUCAUGAACACCUCAACUCUCAUGGCUCGCCAUGAUGAGCUUGGAUUUGGGGGUCUUGCUGGCCUGUGGUCGGCUCCUCUCAAAUGGAUCAGCUUGCCAGUGUUUGGUGGCAUCACCGGUGUGAUAACUAUCUGCGCUUGUGGUUUUCCAUCAGAUAACCUUCAGUGAUGGAGGUUCGCUGGAGCUCAUAAACGUCUCCCCUAAGCGGGGACAGCCCUUUGAAUGUUUGAUCUCAAAUCAGGUAGGACUACCCGCUGAACUUCAGCAUAUCAAUAAGCGGAGGA
rnacentral:misc_RNA from 1 species